UCCCACCAACCACAUGACUGAUGUGAGGAGAAUUCCCCCAGUGACAGAGAAACACCAUUACAAAACAAAGGGGAGUGGAUGCUGAGCACAGGGCAAAAGGUGCUCACUUGAGUUGUUUUCUUACAUCUUUGUAUAAAAUUCCCACGGCUCCCUUAGAAAACUACAGGAAAUCCUGGAGCAUCCCAUUGUCUCUAUUCACUCUUUCAUUCUUCCCUUAUGCACGGACAUGUGACCAGAAUUUAAAAGAUUAUAAGCAAGAUUAUUCUACAUUUCCAAGAUUGGUAUACCAUGAUCUUUCACUCAAGGAUGUCAAAGAUCCUAAUCAAAGUGAGAUAACACUGCAGUGGGCAUUUGUAUAUUAGAGUCUUGGGCACUUGGCUUCCUUAGGACUUACUUGCUUCACAUGUGCAAUGGGAAUAAAUAUUUCUCUGCUUUCCAGGUAUGGGGAUGGGGGUUCAAUCAGAUACUCUCUGGAAGUCUUGCCUUUCUCUGAUUGUGUUCAUGAUUUCACAUGUGCUGGCAAAAGAAAUGUUGAAUAGAUUCUACAUUGGAGAGAGUGAUGGAGAAGUGGUCAUCUUUCAGAAGAAGAGUGUUAAAGGUUCCAGUACGAGUGUCCUGUGCCCGUAUCAACCAGGCAAGCUAUAAUACUGCGCUAGCAGCAGGAACAGGAGAGUCUCCACUGGAGCAGGCUUGUGGUAUCAUCUAGAUAUUGUUUCUAGUUCCACUGGUUCUCUGUCUAAUCUUCUGGCUCUCUGUGAAC
rnacentral:lncRNA from 1 species